rnacentral:piRNA from 1 species
UCCUAGGUCUGUGCCUGAAGGUCGUGGA